CCGACAAAUCGUCACGCCUUCGCCAGCACUGGCCUGUAAACAGCAUGUCACGAUUUCACAGUGCCGUGUUGCGGGGACCCACGCUCGGCAACAGGGUUCCGGAAAGUUCACCCUUGCCCCGCCGGGCACGGCCAGGCCCCUGUGUACUCGCACUUUGCGGAUGUUGUUCACGGAGAAAACUGACUGCCUUCAGCAGAGAUGCCCUGGGAAGCAGAGACACGGCUCCUCUUCUUGAUGCUGGGGUUCGUCCUUCAGUGAAUGGCGAGGGGACCGAGCAGAUCCACAUCUUCUGUGCUGUGAUAUGUGCUCCUCCACCGCUAGGCAUGUCACCUGAGAUGCCGGGCCGCUUUCCUGGUCCCGCCUCCGCAAUGUGCCGUCGGAUUGGCUGAGAGCAAGGUGUCUCAGGGAGUCUGUCAGCCCAAACGCCCCGGGGGCAGAUUCCAUCAGACCCGGCUUCCUCCUCUCCGAAGGCUACCCUGCCUUCUUGAUGGCUUUGUCAUCCGUGAACCUGCAACCAGCCGUGCGAUUCCUGCCUUGCUGUUCCCACGGGUCAAUGCUGCAGAACCGGUUUGGGGAAAAAGAAAAUAGCUUGUGGGAGUAGCUGUCAGCUGUUCUCCUCACUGGUUGCACUAGAGGAGCUGAAUCGGUGUGGAUGUGAAUGUGUGACAGUGGUAGACAAUUCCAUUACUGUCUGAGAACAUUUUAUGAUCCAAGCACUUUGAUUCUUAUCAUUAUAACAGGGCUAGAGUGGCCUUUCCAUUGUGUAGGCCUAUAGACAGCAUGUUUAGAUUUCACUGUGGGGUGUUGUUGCUUGGAGACACACAGGAAUGAUAUAAAGAUGAAAUAAUGCAUCGCAGCACUGAUCUGCCAAUAGAAAUCCAGUAUGUUACAGAGAGAACAGGUUAUUUAUGUAAAAUUGGUUGAAAUAGGUCCAGAUUCAGUGAUGAGAAUAAUUUCACCGCUUCGGUGUUUCUUUGCUCAUUUUUAUAUUUCUGAAUAGUUCCAGGGAGGGAAGUAUUGCUGAGCCUUGGCCAACCUGCACCAGCAUUUUACCCAUAAUCCCUUGCGCCAGUCACAUGACACAAGAAGUCACGUAGUAUGACAAGGUGUGACCAACAAUGUCGAAAUCAGAAGAGUCCUCCAGAGCUCCAAGUGUGAAUUGGGAUCCAAAGGGUGGCAGGAGAUCUGGAGGCUAUGGGUACAAGGCAGGGAACGACCCAGGAUGGGGCGCCAACCCAUUGGUGGGCACAGACACACACCACUCGCUCCCACUUGUGGGCAAUUUGGUAACUCCUUUCAACCUGAGCAUGUUUUUGGAGUUUGGGGGAGGUUGGGAAACUGAAGCACCUGGAGGAAACCCCACAAUGCAACAGGGAGAACAUGGAAACUCCACAAUGCAACAGGGAGAACAUGGAAACCCCACAAUGCAACAGGGAGAACAUGGAAACUCCACACACUUGUAAUCCCAGUGGAGACUCAAAUCCAGGCCCCAGAGGUAUGAGGCAACUGUACCAGCACUACCUCACCCCCCCCCCCCCA